UAACUCUCAGAUUGUUAUUUUACAGAAAGUCAAAUGAAUGAAUCAGAAGACAUACAGUAAAUGUCCACAGUCUCCAAAGGAUUACUGCAGAGAUUCUAGCAUUUAAAGUAUUUCCAACACUGGAGAUUCCAGAUUAAACAAGGAGGACAUGCAAACACAGCCCAUUUCAAGAGUCAGUUUCACAGAGGCUUUCAGAUACAAAAAUAGAUGGGGGAAGGAUGAAGCUUCAACAGCAUCUCUCAGCUGAUGGAAAGGAAUGAAGAGCCAGGGUUGCAGAAAUCUCCCACUGACUUUCAAAUGUUUGUGUGCAGGAGAAAAAAUCUGCUUGACCAAUGACCCUUCACUUCUCCAUCUACUAAAAGUUGAUCCUGAGAAAUCGACACAUAUUCCCCAUUUUGUCGAGAACAUUUUUUGGAGACUGCAUUUUACUCAUACAAAGACAUUAAAAAUGUAUGUUGCUACCACUUUGGGUGCACUUUUUCAGUAUGUUGUCAAUGCCAUCUCUUCAUGGUUUAGGCCAGUCUUGUGUGAGCAGUUGUCAAUAUUUCUGUUUCAAAACCUUCUUCGUUAAGAGUGGUUGCAACUACUGCCAUGGUUAGUAAAACUGGAUAUUAAUAGAAUAAUGCUAGCUGACAGGUAGCCAAGUGUCAAAAUAGUCCAUAGAUACUGUUGGUUUCCAUCAAAAGAAGACUGAUAUCAGGUUGCAGCCAUAAUAUCUAGUUACUAGAAGCUGCUGCUCCCCAAUUAGUAAGCAAAUUAGAAUCCAUUACAAGAGAAAAUUAACGAUUACCUAGGAGUGAUGGAGACUCAUUGUUAAGACAUCACCAUUUUCUUCCCUUUCCCCCUGCUUGUUUUUCUACUAUAUAACACUUUUAAAAAUACUCUUUAAAAUGAGUGUCUUUUGUACUAGUCUGACAGCACCAAAAAAUGUAAAUCUCUCUCCCUUCCACUCCCUGGGCACCCCCC